rnacentral:rRNA from 1 species
GCGUAUUCUGGUCGGAGUGGCGGUGUAGUAGGGAGGGUGCAAGCGUUGAUGGGAAUUACGGGGCGUAAUGCGGGCGUUGGUUUGUUGUUAAGCGAGGUGUGAAAGCCCCGGGCUCAACCUGGGAACUGGAUGUCGAACUGGCAAGCUAGAGGACAGUAGAGGGUGGCGGAAUUUCCUGUGUAGCGGUGAAAUGCGUAGAGAUGGGAAGGAACAUCAGUGGCGAAGGCGGCCACCUGGACUGAUACUGACACUGAGGUGCGAAAGCGUGGGGAGCAAACAGGAUUAGAUACCCCGGUAGUC